UACGUAGGGGGCAAACGUUGUCCGGAUUUAUUGGGCGUAAAGAGCGUGUAGGCGGCCAGACAGGUCAGCUGUGAAAACUCGAGGCUCAACCUCGAGACGUCGGUUGAAACCGUCUGGCUAGAGUCCGGAAGAGGAGAGUGGAAUUCCCGGUGUAGCGGUGAAAUGCGCAGAUAUCGGGAAGAACACCCGUGGCGAAGGCGGCUCUCUGGGACGGUACUGACGCUGAGACGCGAAAAGCGUGGGGAGCCGAACGAGGA
rnacentral:rRNA from 1 species